AUGACGGCUCUCGGUCCUCUUCAUCAUUUUCUGGGUAUUGCAGUCUCUCGCUCUUCUUCUGUGCUCCUUCUCUCUCAUUGUCAGUAUGUCCUUGAACUCCUCUCCAAGGCUGGCAUGCUUGACUGCCACCUUGUCGCACACCAGCUGAAACAGGACCAAAACUUUCUUCUGACGGCGAACCACUCUCUGACCCCACUCUCUAUCGCAGCAUCACUAGAGCGCUUCAAUACCUCACACUCACACGCCCGGAUAUCACCUACGCUGUCCAGCAAGCUUGCUUGUACAUGCAUGAUCCACGCCUUCCGCAUAUGA
rnacentral:rRNA from 1 species